rnacentral:rRNA from 1 species
GUUGAUCCUGCCGGAGGUUACUGCUAUCGGUGUUUGACUAAGCCAUGCGAGUCAAAUGUUCUUCGUGAACAUGGCGUAAUGCUCAGUAACACGUGGAUAACCUGCCCUUAGGUCCGGCAUAAUCUCGGGAAACUGAGGAUAAUUCCGGAUAGCUCUUUUUGGCCGGAAAUGCAUUAAGAGUAAAAGUAUCUCGCCUAAGGAUGGGUCUGCGGCCUAUCAGGUAGUAGAGGGUGUAACGCGCCUUCCAGCCGACAACGGGUACGGGUUGUGAGAGCAAGAGCCCGGAGAUGGAUUCUGAGACAUGAAUCCAGGCCCUACGGGGCGCAGCAGGCGCGAAAACUUUACAAUGCAGGAAACUGUGAUAAGGAAACACCGAGUGCCCGCAUCUAAUGCGGGCUGUCCGCGUACCCAAAUCGUACGCGUCAGCAAGGACCGGGCAAUACCGGUGCCAGCCGCCGCGGUAAUACCGGUGGCCCGAGUGGUAGCCGCUUUUAUUUGGUCUAAAGGGUCCGUAGCCGGUCCGGUCAGUCCAUUGGUAAAUCCGCGCGCUCAACACGCGGUCUUCAGUGGAUACUUCCGGACUUGGGACCGGGAGAGGUAAGAGGUACUAUAGGGGUAGGAGUGAAAUCCUGUAAUCCUUAUGAGACCACCUGUGGCGAAGGCGUCUUACCGGAACGGGUCCGACGGUGAGGGACGAAAGCUGGGGGCACGAACCGGAUUAGAUACCCGGGUAGUCCCAGCCGUAAACUAUGCCCGCUGGGUGUCAGGCAUGGCAUGACUGUGUCCGGUGCCGUAGAGAAGUCGUGAAGCGGGCCACCUGGGAAGUACGGCCGCAAGGCUGAAACUUAAAGGAAUUGGCGGGGGAGCACUACAACGGGUGGAGCCUGCGGUUUAAUUGGACUCAACGCCGGAAAACUCACCAGGGGAGACAGCAAUAUGUAGGUCAGGCUGAAGGUCUUACCUGAAUCGCUGAGAGGAGGUGCAUGGUCGUCGCCAGUUCGUACUGUGAAGCAUCCUGUUAGGUCAGGCAACGAGCGAGACCCCU